CUCAGGUAAACUAACCUCAAGUAAACUAAUGAUGACAGGCAAACUAACGUCAGGCAAACUAAACUCAUGUAAACUAACCUCAGGUAAACUAAUGAUGACAGGUAAACUAACCUCAGGUGAACAAAACUCAGGUAAACUAAUGAUGACAGGUAAACUAACCUCAGGUAAACUAAUGAUGACAGG